UACGUAGGUGGCAAGCGUUGUCCGGAUUUACUGGGCGUAAAGAGCGCGCAGGCGGUCGUGCAAGUCGCGUGUGAAAGCCCCCGGCUCAACUGGGGAGGGUCACGCGAUACUGCUCGACUCGAAGGCAGGAGAGGGAAGUGGAAUUCCCGGUGUAGUGGUGAAAUGCGUAGAUGUCGGGAGGAACACCAGUGGCGAAGGCGACUUCCUGGCCUGUUCUUGACGCUGAGGCGCGAAAGCUAGGGUAGCAAACGGG
rnacentral:rRNA from 1 species